GAUGAACGCUGGCGGCGUGCCUAAUACAUGCAAGUCGAGCGAACAGACGAGGAGCUUGCUCCUCUGACGUUAGCGGCGGACGGGUGAGUAACACGUGGAUAACCUACCUAUAAGACUGGGAUAACUUCGGGAAACCGGAGCUAAUACCGGAUAAUAUAUUGAACCGCAUGGUUCAAUAGUGAAAGACGGUUUUGCUGUCACUUAUCGAUGGAUCCGCGCCGCAUUAGCUAGUUGGUAAGGUAACGGCUUACCAAGGCAACGAUGCGUAGCCGACCUGAGAGGGUGAUGGCCCACACUGGGACUGAGACACGGUCCAGAGUCCGACGGGAGGCAGAAGUAGGGAAUCGUCCGCGAUGGGCGAAAGCCUGACGGAGCAACGCCGCGUGGGUGAUGAAGGUCUUCGGAUCGUAAAACUCUGUUGUUAGGGAAGAACAAAUGUGUAAGUAACGAUGCACGUCUUGACGGUACCUAAUCAGAAAGCCACGGCUAACUACGUG
rnacentral:rRNA from 1 species